rnacentral:rRNA from 1 species
AGUGGACGCUGGCGGUAGGCCUAACACAUGCAAGUCGAACGGCAGCACAGUAAGAGCUUGCUCUUACGGGUGGCGAGUGGCGGACGGGUGAGGAAUACAUCGGAAUCUACUUUUUCGUGGGGGAUAACGUAGGGAAACUUACGCUAAUACCGCAUACGACCUACGGGUGAAAGCAGGGGAUCUUCGGACCUUUCGCGAUUGAAUGAGCCGAUGUCGGAUUAGCUAGUUGGCGGGGUAAAGGCCCACCAAGGCGACGAUCCGUAGCUGGUCUGAGAGGAUGAUCAGCCACACUGGAACUGAGACACGGUCCAGACUCCUACGGGAGGCAGCAGUAGGGAAUAUUGGACAAUGGGCGCAAGCCUGAUCCAGCAAUACCGCGUGGGUGAAGAAGGCCUUCGGGUUGUAAAACCCUUUUGUUGGGAAAGAAAAGCAGCAGGUUAAUACCCCGCUGUUCUGACGGUACCCAAAGAAUAAGCACCGGCUAACUUCGUG